UGGGGCCCUCAGCUAGCACACAGGGCUUGGGACUUUCACCUGUCCCCAGCCCUUGGAGGACACAGAGCAACAAAACCCCAUUUUUAGCACACUCAGCUUUUCAGCAGCUGCUGAAUGUCCAGACCAAGCAGCACACACCUCUGACUCCAGCCUCUCUUGGGGACUGACGACAUCUGAUGAGAUCUCCUCAACUGUCUGAGGAGACAGAGUGUACUCUAACAACCACAUCAACUCCUUUCAAACUAUUUUAGAAAAUACACAGCUUUAAUCAUCUGUUUAAACUACCUUUCAAAAGCUUUGAAAUAUGGCCAUAGAAAAGGCUCUCUGAGCCUAUCAAAAUUUAGAGUAUUUUCUGUUGAAAUGACCCUGUAUCAGUGUACUGUUACAGCAGAUACCAGACACCACCACAGGUCACACUGUAACAUUGGCUGUCAUCCCGAGUUUGCUUCCAUUGAGUAUUUGACUUCAUAUUUCCCAUGCUUGGUCCCUCUUAAGAAGGGUUGUUUUGUUGGUAUAGAAUCCCAAUAGGCCUCUAUCAAGGAGAGAUGAAAGGCAGAGUUCAGGACCAGGACAAAUCAUUGCUGCUUCAGUGUUUCUGCUGGGGUAGUUUGCAUGAAGAAGACUUCAACAUCAGCUUCACAAAGCAGAAUUCUCGGGUGACCUGGCCUUUGCUCAGGGAAAAAAGGAAGUCACAGGUCUCCUGCACCCAGGGAACUCCUGCCUUUCAGCUGCCUCAACUAGACCCAGUGCAUGAUUGCAGAGCUGGGAAGGUGCUCUUUCCAGCUGGGAAUCAAGCCCUGAGUUCCAGUCUGCUAUUCUACCUCUGAUUAAACAGUCCCAAUGCAAAUAGACAUUCCUGCCCUUUCAAACCAGCUUUGUGUCAAGCUAUUUCCAGGCAGGCAAUGACAAG